UUCGCCGACCUCCUCCGAUCUGUCGACUUUGGUGGGCGAUUAGCGUGAAAUACAUUUCGCAGAAGUCAAGUGGAUAACGCUUGUGUUUGGCGUUUGCUUUGGAGGAGUGAAAUGUCGACGCAAAAGGCCCGGAGACGGCAGCGAUCAAUCUACGCUUCGCUCGACGCCCGUUUCAUAAACAGGUGUUACUCGCAGCCGGAAUCCCGAAAGCCACAAGAAACUCGAACCCGGACACGAAUUUCACGCCAACGACAGUGGAAUAGGCAACAUAACGUAUUGGCACAAGUGAGGAGCUGAAUGAGUCACCACAAUACACCAAGUAGCUGUUCUUCCAGCGACAACUGCAGCACGGCAGCAAUCAACACUGAAAAGCGAAACAAGCUCCAGUGAAAACAAAAAGUGCCGAUCACGAGCCUCAGUCAGACUGUCAGUAAGGAGUGCUUGCAUCAUUGUCUCCUGUGUAUUUCUCCCAUUUCGUGAUAAGCUACCAGUGCUUGUUUGUGUUGCACAUGUUUAAGCCGGUGUAGUCACACAGGUAUAUCCAAUGUUUGUUUAUUACUAUAUUGUACACAGUAUUUAUUAGUACUCAUUCCUAAUAUACACAAUACUUAUCAAAGCGCAUUUUUUUAAAUUACGUAAUGUAAUGUAGGAUGUCAUUUCGUUCUUACACUCUCGGACUGUUUAUUGUCUGAACACAAGAUUCAUGCAAAAUAAUUUCAACGUUAAUCUGGCUGUUAUCAAUUCUGAGCUCUGUCAACAUCUUGCUGACUGUCACAGUUGUUGUGCUGACAUUUAUUCAGCCUUCGUGUUGAGGAAAGAAAGAAAUUGGGGCAAAACCUUUCUUCUUGAACAAGUGGAAGUUGCAAGUAGGGAUAAUUGUGUAAUGUGUUCUCAUUUCCUUCGCUAUUGAAGUUUCUUGCUUCAAAAUGUAUUGGUAUUGAUUAAAAUAUUUUUG